rnacentral:lncRNA from 1 species
CGACACUAACCUUUCCCCUCCCUUUUAACUGUCAUAAAUCCGACCCCUAUCCCUAGAGACCCAUCUCACUACUUACCCUUCCUCUCUUUCAUCUUUCACCCUCUGCCGCCGCCGUAAAUCGCCUACGUCGGCGGUCCACCACCAAACCACCCCAAAAUUAUACCACAUAAUCCCCACAACUUUCUAAAUCCUAACCCCUCAUCAAUUUCCCCAGAAAACCACCCAAACCUCACAAAUUUCAGAUCUUAGAAACGGCCAGCAGCCCUAGGUUCUUUCUUUGGAUUUUUCAAGAUCUCCAAGAUUUGACUCGACCCGAAAUUUGCAUUGUUUGAUUGUUCUCAAUAAGAACAAUCGAAUGAUGUUAAUUUCGACUCGUUUCGAAAAUAUCGGAGUUGGUCGAUUACCAAUUUUUCUCCUGACCAGCAUCUAUUUGGCCUCAAUUGGUAAUUUCGUGACCUUUUUCUUUUUAUUUCAGAUUAUUGUGCCUCAAUAUUAAACUCCAAUUGAUCCCUGUUUUGUUGGCAUUUCUUCUUUCUGUUAAGUUCAGUUCAAUUAGACAUUUGACAUAUUAUUUUGUUUGAUUAUACGUUUUGCAUGUGUAGAAUGAUGGUAGAACAACAUGAUAGUUAGUUAUAGGUUAAUUAAUCAUGAAUUAGUAAUCACACCUUUGCAUUAGGAUUUAUUUGUUUAAUUGUUGAUAUUUUUGCAUAUGGUUACUCCGUUUGGAUUUUCUUGAUCUGUUUUCUUAGUGGUAGUUGUAUGUAAUUAACAGAAGUUAAAGGAGUCAAAGGAAUUUGGGAAAUCAGGGAAUCUUAGGUGUUUGUUCAGGAAGCCUCUAGAUACACACUGAAGAACCUUCAGAAAUUCAGUUUUACACUCUGCAUAUUUAUUCACUCAUAAAGAUACACACGGAAGAACCUUCAGAAAUUCAGAGACUCUUCUUCAUUUUCAUUCUGGUUUUCCUCCUCUUUUUGAGUUUAAGGCUAGAAACAGAAAACAAGAAAAAUUUUCAAGGCUGCUUUUUCUUCUCCACUUGCUACUGGUUUUACUCCAUUUUGCUGGGAUUUUGAGUUUGGCUGGCUGCUGGUUCUUUUGUUCUUGCUGAUUUCUGCUGCUGUAUUUGCUUUGCUGCUGCCGUUUUUGUCACAUUUCAGAGACUUAUUUUCUUUUGUUUUGGUUCUGUUAUAACCAGGUAUGUAGUUGAGUUCUGGAUCUAAUCAACUUGUUAUUUCGCUUUUGUUUCGAUCUAUCUGUUAGAAGAUGUUUAGAGUUGACAUACACUCCAUUUAUGUAAUGAUUUAAGUUAUGACAAACUCUAAAGCUGAGGGAUGGAUUUGAAGUCACUGAAAAGGGAAGUUUAAGUUGUGGGUUUAGUCGUAUCUUAUUCUGGGAUGGCUAUUAUUGUAAACGACUUCUGUGUAUAUUGGAAAACGUUCAUAUUGUCGAGGUUUGUUAUUAAAGUGGCCAUAUUAGUUAUCUGCUUAGCUAAAAUGUAUUCUCUGUUUAAUUGUGUGAUUAUCAAGUGCUUAGUUCUGCAUACUCACUAAAAAUGUAUGGCAUAAGUCUAAAUAUAUAUAUAUAUAUAUAUAUAUAUAUAUAUAUAUCAAUAGUAUGAGUCUGUUUAAUCAAUUCUUGAUGUAUU